GCCCCAGUGGCCCUAAUGGAUAAGGCACUGGCCUCCUAAGCCAGGGAUUGUGGUUCGAGUCCCGUCUGGGGUGA
rnacentral:tRNA from 1 species